ACAGCAAAGCCGCGAGGUGGAGCGAAUCUCCAAAAAUUGUCCCAGUUCAGAUUGCAGGCUGCAACUCGCCUGCAUGAAGUCGGAAUUGCUAGUAAUCGUGGAUCAGCAUGCCACGGUGAAUACGUUCCCGGGCCUUGUACACACCGCCCGUCACACCAUGGGAGUCGGUAACACCCGAAGCCUGUAGUCUAACCGCAAGGAGGACGCAGUCGAAGGUGGGAUUGGUGACUGGGGUGAAGUCGUAACAAGGUAAC
rnacentral:rRNA from 1 species